rnacentral:lncRNA from 1 species
GAAGGAAAAACAUCUCCAGUGCAUGUUUGCAGAAGGGUUGUAUCACGAAGAAAAAUCUGAGGGUCUUCCAACAUGGUUAUUGAUUAGAAACCCCUUAUUUCAUCAGGAGCUUAUGCACUUGGAAAACUUCUCCAGCAUUGGAAAUGAGCCAUCGUGGACAGUAGCAGGGGAUUCUUCUGGAAGCCCUCCAGGCAUGGGCACAGGGUCCCAGCUGGCAGAGGUUUUGGCUCCAGGUUCACGUUGGACCUUCUUCCCUGGUCCCCCCAGCCCAUCACACGCAACACAGCUCUGCGAGCACAAAGGUCUACGCUCAUUCCCCUGCCAACAUCACCGAGAGGAGCAGGAGGAGAGCAACAGCUCAGGUACUGGGAUGAGAAACAGGAAUUAUUUAACCUUCAACGAAGCUCAGUGA